rnacentral:rRNA from 1 species
UUAAGCGACUAAGCGUACACGGUGGAUGCCCUGGCAGUCAGAGGCGAUGAAGGACGUGCUAAUCUGCGAUAAGCGUCGGUAAGGUGAUAUGAACCGUUAUAACCGGCGAUUUCCGAAUGGGGAAACCCAGUGUGAUUCGUCACACUAUCAUUAACUGAAUCCAUAGGUUAAUGAGGCGAACCGGGGGAACUGAAACAUCUAAGUACCCCGAGGAAAAGAAAUCAACCGAGAUUCCCCCAGUAGCGGCGAGCGAACGGGGAGGAGCCCAGAGCCUGAAUCAGUGUGUGUGUUAGUGGAAGCGUCUGGAAAGGCGCGCGAUACAGGGUGACAGCCCCGUACACAAAAAUGCACAUGCUGUGAGCUCGAUGAGUAGGGCGGGACACGUGGUAUCCUGUCUGAAUAUGGGGGGACCAUCCUCCAAGGCUAAAUACUCCUGACUGACCGAUAGUGAACCAGUACCGUGAGGGAAAGGCGAAAAGAACCCCGGCGAGGGGAGUGAAAAAGAACCUGAAACCGUGUACGUACAAGCAGUGGGAGCACGCUUCGGCGUGUGACUGCGUACCUUUUGUAUAAUGGGUCAGCGACUUAUAUUCUGUAGCAAGGUUAACCGAAUAGGGGAGCCGAAGGGAAACCGAGUCUUAACUGGGCGUUAAGUUGCAGGGUAUAGACCCGAAACCCGGUGAUCUAGCCAUGGGCAGGUUGAAGGUUGGGUAACACUAACUGGAGGACCGAACCGACUAAUGUUGAAAAAUUAGCGGAUGACUUGUGGCUGGGGGUGAAAGGCCAAUCAAACCGGGAGAUAGCUGGUUCUCCCCGAAAGCUAUUUAGGUAGCGCCUCGUGAAUUCAUCUCCGGGGGUAGAGCACUGUUUCGGCAAGGGGGUCAUCCCGACUUACCAACCCGAUGCAAACUGCGAAUACCGGAGAAUGUUAUCACGGGAGACACACGGCGGGUGCUAACGUCCGUCGUGAAGAGGGAAACAACCCAGACCGCCAGCUAAGGUCCCAAAGUCAUGGUUAAGUGGGAAACGAUGUGGGAAGGCCCAGACAGCCAGGAUGUUGGCUUAGAAGCAGCCAUCAUUUAAAGAAAGCGUAAUAGCUCACUGGUCGAGUCGGCCUGCGCGGAAGAUGUAACGGGGCUAAACCAUGCACCGAAGCUGCGGCAGCGACACUGUGUGUUGUUGGGUAGGGGAGCGUUCUGUAAGCCUGUGAAGGUGUACUGUGAGGUAUGCUGGAGGUAUCAGAAGUGCGAAUGCUGACAUAAGUAACGAUAAAGCGGGUGAAAAGCCCGCUCGCCGGAAGACCAAGGGUUCCUGUCCAACGUUAAUCGGGGCAGGGUGAGUCGACCCCUAAGGCGAGGCCGAAAGGCGUAGUCGAUGGGAAACAGGUUAAUAUUCCUGUACUUGGUGUUACUGCGAAGGGGGGACGGAGAAGGCUAUGUUGGCCGGGCGACGGUUGUCCCGGUUUAAGCGUGUAGGCUGGUUUUCCAGGCAAAUCCGGAAAAUCAAGGCUGAGGCGUGAUGACGAGGCACUACGGUGCUGAAGCAACAAAUGCCCUGCUUCCAGGAAAAGCCUCUAAGCAUCAGGUAACAUCAAAUCGUACCCCAAACCGACACAGGUGGUCAGGUAGAGAAUACCAAGGCGCUUGAGAGAACUCGGGUGAAGGAACUAGGCAAAAUGGUGCCGUAACUUCGGGAGAAGGCACGCUGAUAUGUAGGUGAAGUCCCUCGCGGAUGGAGCUGAAAUCAGUCGAAGAUACCAGCUGGCUGCAACUGUUUAUUAAAAACACAGCACUGUGCAAACACGAAAGUGGACGUAUACGGUGUGACGCCUGCCCGGUGCCGGAAGGUUAAUUGAUGGGGUCAGCGCAAGCGAAGCUCUUGAUCGAAGCCCCGGUAAACGGCGGCCGUAACUAUAACGGUCCUAAGGUAGCGAAAUUCCUUGUCGGGUAAGUUCCGACCUGCACGAAUGGCGUAAUGAUGGCCAGGCUGUCUCCACCCGAGACUCAGUGAAAUUGAACUCGCUGUGAAGAUGCAGUGUACCCGCGGCAAGACGGAAAGACCCCGUGAACCUUUACUAUAGCUUGACACUGAACAUUGAGCCUUGAUGUGUAGGAUAGGUGGGAGGCUUUGAAGUGUGGACGCCAGUCUGCAUGGAGCCGACCUUGAAAUACCACCCUUUAAUGUUUGAUGUUCUAACGUUGACCCGUAAUCCGGGUUGCGGACAGUGUCUGGUGGGUAGUUUGACUGGGGCGGUCUCCUCCUAAAGAGUAACGGAGGAGCACGAAGGUUGGCUAAUCCUGGUCGGACAUCAGGAGGUUAGUGCAAUGGCAUAAGCCAGCUUGACUGCGAGCGUGACGGCGCGAUCAGGUGCGAAAGCAGGUCAUAGUGAUCCGGUGGUUCUGAAUGGAAGGGCCAUCGCUCAACGGAUAAAAGGUACUCCGGGGAUAACAGGCUGAUACCGCCCAAGAGUUCAUAUCGACGGCGGUGUUUGGCACCUCGAUGUCGGCUCAUCACAUCCUGGGGCUGAAGUAGGUCCCAAGGGUAUGGCUGUUCGCCAUUUAAAGUGGUACGCGAGCUGGGUUUAGAACGUCGUGAGACAGUUCGGUCCCUAUCUGCCGUGGGCGCUGGAGAACUGAGGGGGGCUGUUCCUAGUACGAGAGGACCGGAGUGGACGCAUCACUGGUGUUCGGGUUGUCAUGCCAAUGGCACUGCCCGGUAGCUAAAUGCGGAAGAGAUAAGUGCUGAAAGCAUCUAAGCACGAAACUUGCCCCGAGAUGAGUUCUCCCUGACUCCUUGAGAGUCCUGAAGGAACGUUGAAGACGACGACGUUGAUAGGCCGGGUGUGUAAGCGCAGCGAUGCGUUGAGCUAACCGGUACUAAUGAACCGUGAGGCUUAACCUU